rnacentral:rRNA from 1 species
UGCCAGCCGCCGCGGUAAUACGGAUGGUGCGAGCGUUAAUCGGAAUCACUGGGCAUAAAGAGCACGUAGGCGGCGACGUAAGUCAGUGGUGAAAUCCCUCGGCUCAACCGGGGAACGGCCAUUGAAACUGUGUUGCUAGAGUGCGGGAGGGGCAGACGGAAUUCCAGGUGGAGCGGUGAAAUGCGUAGAUAUCUGGAGGAACGCCAGGGGCGAAAGCGGUCUGCUGGCCCGCAACUGACGCUGAGGUGCGAAAGCUAGGGGAGCAAACAGGAUUAGAUA